GAGGGAUCAUUACUGUUCAGCUGCCUGGGGCCGCGAGAUCUGGCGCCUCCAUCCGCCUCGGAUGGGGUGUGCGGGGCCGCGGACCCAGUCUUCUAACACCCUUGAUUUUGAGCACCAUUUGUUUCCUCGGCGGGUCCGCCCGCCAGCGAGGACCCCAUAAACUCUUUGCAGUAGCAUCAUUUGUCUGAUAUACCAACAAAAUAAUCAAAACUUUCAACAAUGGAUCUCUUGGUUCUGGCAUCGAUGAAGAACGCAGCGAAAUGCGAUAAGUAGUGUGAAUUGCAGAAUUCAGUGAAUCAUCGAAUCUUUGAACGCACAUUGCGCCCCUCGGUAUUCCGUGGGGCAUGCCUGUUCGAGCGUCAUUUCAACCCUCAAGCACAGCUUGGUGUUGGGUGCUUGUCCCGCCCCCGCGCGGCGACUCACCUCAAAAUCAGUGGCAGCCCGCAUCCGCCGGCCGUGAGCGCAGCACAGUCGCGCCCUAGGCACCGGCAGGUCGGCUCUCCAGAAGCAUACCUUCUAUUUUGACCUCGGAUCAGGUAGGGAUACCCGCUGAACUUAAGCAUAUC
rnacentral:rRNA from 1 species